rnacentral:piRNA from 1 species
UAUGGGAUAAGUAUGAUGGUCGGCAGCGGU